UACAGAGGGUGCGAGCGUUAAUCGGAAUUACUGGGCGUAAAGCGCGCGUAGGCGGCUUUGCAAGUCGGGUGUGAAAUCCCCGAGCUUAACUUGGGAAUUGCGCUCGAAACUACGAUGCUCGAGUGUGGCAGAGGAAGGUGGAAUUCCACGUGUAGCGGUGAAAUGCGUAGAGAUGUGGAGGAACACCGAUGGCGAAGGCAGCCCCCUGGGAUAACACUGACGCUCAUGCACGAAAGCGUGGGGAGCAAACAGG
rnacentral:rRNA from 1 species